GGUAGCGACAGGGAUUAGAGACCCCUCUAGUCCACGCCGUAAACGAUGAGUGUUCACUUUGGGUCUUAAUGAUCCGAGGUCUAGCUAACGCGUUAAACACUCCGCCUGGGGAGUACGGUCGCAAGGCUGAAACUCAAGGGAAUUGACGGGGGCUCGCACAAGUGGUGGAUCAUCUUGUUUAAUUCGAUAAUACGCGCAAAACCUUACCAACCCUUGACAUCUUUUUU
rnacentral:rRNA from 1 species